GUUGUUUGCUGAUGGCUGUGGUAGAAUUACCACAUGGGGGCCAACUUUAAACCAUCAAACGGAUGUCCCUGAACACAGAGUCAGGGAGAGAAGCAGAACCGGGACGAGCCAGCCCCAGGACAGCAGUGAGAGUCUGCCUGCAAACCUUGGCUCAUGGGCCCCACUCCCUCCAUUUUCAAGGCCAGAGAUGGAUGAUGGCUUUGAUCUUGAAGCUCCUUCUUCAGUUAUAUGCUGUUGACUUCUAUCGGACCAUCUACCCAACCACAUCUGCACAGAUUGUCUUUACUCAGCCACUAUAUGCCCACGCCCUACCCACCUCCCAGC
ensembl:lncRNA